AUCUUGUCCUUCAGAUCUUUCUCCAUCCUUGUAGCCCUCCUUUGGACACUCUCUUGAUGUUUUCACUAGGAAGGGCUGGGAAACAAGCAUGAGUUGGGUACAUAAGUGGAUGAGUGAUCCACCUCCCUGCUGAGACUGGCUUCCUUGUGUCAUGUAAUUUAGUGCUCAGUCACUUCUGUUUCCUCACCAUGAACUCCCUCAGAUGCUCCCAAGUAAAGAACUCUCAUUACUACAACAGCUCUGGAAGAAAGCAAGACAGAGGAUUGCUAAAGCAGGAAGCACAGGUCCCAUUAUCAAGAGCACUCUUUCUGGCUUGGCUGAGAGUCCAAAAGCUUUGAACUAUUUUAGGAGUAUUAACACCACAAAAGCGGGAAGCGUUAAGGAAGAAUGAUGCAUCUUUUUAGCCAAUGGCAGAAAUAGCUUCAGCAUUCCCUCUGACAAGAUACAUGAACAAUCAGCUUUCCAAGAGAAUGUGGAGAUAGUGGUACAGCUGAGAGAAAUUCUAACUCUGUGAACAUGCCCAUUUUUCACGGAGAUUACUGAUGCAUAUGCUUAAAAGCAAGACCCACGUGGACAAAGCCCUGAGCAACCUGGUCUGUUGGGCAGAAGAUUGGCAUGGAGACCUCUUGAGCACGCCUCAACCUGAACAAUACCGCACUGUUCCUAUUGCUUCCAGGGCUUUCCAGGAGCAGUGCUGGAUACACAAGUCUGCAGCAGAAUGGAGCACCCUCCAGGCUGAAGAAUCUCAUUAGGAAUACAAGCUACAAGUACAGAAGUACUCAACUGAAGCAGUCCUUUACUGAACACAUAAUUUCUUAAAAUAGCUUUUCCAAUACUCUUCAGUUUGUUUUUGACAUCAGCUCUUUGCAUGCAAAUUUCUAAUUCUUUUGCUCUUCUUUUGCUGUUCUUUAGUGUAGGACUUGUAUAUUGCUCCACUUGUCCUGUAAACACACUUCAGGACUUAAGAGUGUUGUCACAAUU
ensembl:lncRNA